rnacentral:rRNA from 1 species
UACGUAGGGUGCAAGCGUUGUCCGGAAUCAUUGGGCGUAAAGCGCGUGUAGGCGGCCCGGUAAGUCCGCUGUGAAAGUCGGGGGCUCAACCCUCGAAAGCCGGUGGAUACUGUCGGGCUAGAGUGCGGGAGAGGCGAGUGGAAUUCCUGGUGUAGCGGUGAAAUGCGCAGAUAUCAGGAGGAACACCGAUUGCGAAGGCAGCUCGCUGGAACGUAACUGACGCUGAGACGCGAAAGCGUGGGGAGCAAACAGG